GGAGGAUUACCCAAGUCUGGCUGAAGGGAACGGUCUUGAAAACCGUCAGGUGUGUAAAAGCACGCAAGAGUUCGAAUCUCUUAUCCUCCU
rfam:Carnobacterium sp. CP1, complete genome.